ensembl:lncRNA
CUUUACUGCAUGAAGAGAUGAGAGUCAGCGUCUAUCUCUGGUAUGCAGCACCGGCAGCAAUGCACGUGUGAGUAAGCUUGUGUAUCUCACACUCAGAGGUCCACAAUUGAAAUCCUAGCACGACUGAAGCCCUUCAGGGUGUACCCCGCCUUGUGCCCCAUGCUCCCUGGGAUAGACUCCAGGUUCCCCGUGACCCUGAUGGAAGGAUAAGCGGUAUAGAAGAUGGAUGGAUGGAUGGAUGGAUUGACCCAAGACGUGUCACGUGACAUCAUCACAACACACAUUCAGCAGAAGCCCUCUUCUAUUCACUUGUGUCGAACACGAGUACAGCUAAAAGGUCUCAUCUACCAACAAACAUCACUGUGAAAGCCCGCGCAAAACAAUUUCGUGCCAAGUCGAGCAGUUUUCUGCAAAAAGGUACAAAAAAAAACGCUAAUUUUAAAAAAAGCCGCAACAAAAUAAACAAAUCUUGGCCGCAACAAUCUAAAAAAAAUAAAAUGAAUAAAACUCUGAAAUCCUAUAUGGACAUCCUAUAUGGUACAAUCAUACCAGUUUACACACUGACAAUAAAAUGCCAACGACUGCACUGAAAACAUGACAUUUGAUUUUUGGCAGCCAUUGCAUGUUGUUG